AUGAACGCUAGCUACAGGCUUAACACAUGCAAGUCGAGGGGCAGCAUGGUCUUAGCUUGCUAAGGCCGAUGGCGACCGGCGCACGGGUGAGUAACACGUAUCCAACCUGCCGUCUACUCUUGGACAGCCUUCUGAAAGGAAGAUUAAUACAAGAUGGCAUCAUGAGUCCGCAUGUUCACAUGAUUAAAGGUAUUCCGGUAGACGAUGGGGAUGCGUUCCAUUAGAUAGUAGGCGGGGUAACGGCCCACCUAGUCUUCGAUGGAUAGGGGUUCUGAGAGGAAGGUCCCCCACAUUGGAACUGAGACACGGUCCAAACUCCUACGGGAGGCAGCAGUGAGGAAUAUUGGUCAAUGGGCGAGAGCCUGAACCAGCCAAGUAGCGUGAAGGAUGACUGCCCUAUGGGUUGUAAACUUCUUUUAUAAAGGAAUAAAGUCGGGUAUGCAUACCCGUUUGCAUGUACUUUAUGAAUAAGGAUCGGCUAACUCCGUGCCAGCAGCCGCGGUAAUACGGAGGAUCCGAGCGUUAUCCGGAUUUAUUGGGUUUAAAGGGAGCGUAGAUGGAUGUUUAAGUCAGUUGUGAAAGUUUGCGGCUCAACCGUAAAAUUGCAGUUGAUACUGGAUAUCUUGAGUGCAGUUGAGGCAGGCGGAAUUCGUGGUGUAGCGGUGAAAUGCUUAGAUAUCACGAAGAACUCCGAUUGCGAAGGCAGCCUGCUAAGCUGCAACUGACAUUGAGGCUCGAAAGUGUGGGUAUCAAACAGGAUUAGAUACCCUGGUAGUCCACACGGUAAACGAUGAAUACUCGCUGUUUGCGAUAUACAGUAAGCGGCCAAGCGAAAGCGUUAAGUAUUCCACCUGGGGAGUACGCCGGCAACGGUGAAACUCAAAGGAAUUGACGGGGGCCCGCACAAGCGGAGGAACAUGUGGUUUAAUUCGAUGAUACGCGAGGAACCUUACCCGGGCUUAAAUUGCAGAUGAAUUACGGUGAAAGCCGUAAGCCGCAAGGCAUCUGUGAAGGUGCUGCAUGGUUGUCGUCAGCUCGUGCCGUGAGGUGUCGGCUUAAGUGCCAUAACGAGCGCAACCCUUGUUGUCAGUUACUAACAGGUUCCGCUGAGGACUCUGACAAGACUGCCAUCGUAAGAUGUGAGGAAGGUGGGGAUGACGUCAAAUCAGCACGGCCCUUACGUCCGGGGCUACACACGUGUUACAAUGGGGGGUACAGAGGGCCGCUACCACGCGAGUGGAUGCCAAUCCCAAAAACCUCUCUCAGUUCGGACUGGAGUCUGCAACCCGACUCCACGAAGCUGGAUUCGCUAGUAAUCGCGCAUCAGCCACGGCGCGGUGAAUACGUUCCCGGGCCUUGUACACACCGCCCGUCAAGCCAUGGGAGCCGGGGGUACCUGAAGUGCGUAACCGCGAGGAGCGCCCUAGGGUAAAACUGGUGACUGGGGCU
rnacentral:rRNA from 1 species